AUUGAACGCUGGCGGCAGGCCUAACACAUGCAAGUCGAGCGAGCGGCGGACGGGUGAGUAAUGUAUGGGGACUGCCCGAUAGAGGGGGAUAACUACUGGAAACGGUAGCUAAUACCGCAUACUAUCGGAUAACCCAUAUGGGAUGAGCUAGUAGGUGAGGUAAUGGCUCACCUAGGCGACGAUCCCUAGCUGGUCUGAGAGGAUGAUCAGGCACACUGGGAUUGAGACACGGCCCAUAGUCCUACGGAGUCAGCAGUGGGGAAGAGUGAACAGGGGGGUCAAGCCGGAUGCAGCCAUGCCGCGUGUGUGAAGAAGGCCUGCGGGUUGUAAAGUACUUUCAGCCAGGAGGCGUGACUCGCAGAAGAAGCACCUGCUAACUCCGUGCCAGCAGCCGCGGUAAUUC
rnacentral:rRNA from 1 species